GUCCGCGUAGCACAGUGGUAGUGCGCUUGACUACGAUUACUUAGUACAUUUUGCUUCAGCAGGUGUACCUAGGAUCUGCAUCAAGAGGUCGCGAUUUCGAAUAUCGCCGUGGAUU
rnacentral:tRNA from 1 species